AUAGUAAAUUUUAUUGAGAUAUUUUACGUCGCUUAUCACAUCAUCAAAAGGUAAAAGUCUUAAGUUAAGAGGAGACGUGGCACCAUAAAAAUAUCAAUUCAACUCCGCCGAUUUCCGUCUUAGACUUAAAGUCUCAUCUGUCCCGCCACCUACCAGCUGUCCACGUUUUCUCGAAUAUUCCACCCUGCUGCACAUUCACGCUACCCUACCAUGUUCCAUCGUUCCCAACCGUUCGAUUGCCUACCUCCAUCUCACCCCUUCAUAUCCAAUACUUUUAACGGUUCAGAUUCAAAUUUUAAAAAUCUAGAUUUUAUCCAUAAUUAAAUAAUUUAUCAGAAAAUGGAAUUACGGUAUGAGGAAAACACGACAGCUUAAUCCAGGUCAAUUUUGCUGCCACCGAUACAUAAACCCUACCUCUAUAAAUACCCUCCCCCUUGCUCCAUCUUCUCUCCGUGCUCAUCUCCUAGUCUCUCUUUGAUUUUCUACUCACAUUGUUUUCUACUAAAUCAUAAUCAUCAUAAAAGAAAAAUGGCGAGCUUCUUCGACAGAUCUGCGGCUAUUGUCGCGGCGGUGGUGAUGGUGAUGAUUGCCGUGUUGUCUGCUUCAGUUUCUGCUCAAGAUUUUGGAAUGGCACCUGCUCCGUCUCCUUUCAUGGAGAGCGCCGGAUUUUUCUUUGCAGAUUUCUGCAGCUCUCAUCUGUUCUUCUUUGAUUUUCUCUAUGNNNNN
rnacentral:lncRNA from 1 species